ACGACUUUCCCACCCUGAAAUUGGUUCAACCGAAGAGAGGGUCCAACAUAUGGAAGAGCACCACACGUCUUGCGGUGUUUGGUGCCCCCUCGACAACCAUUGAAAAUAUGGAGAACCAAGUACCAUCCAUGCCCGAUCGUACUCAUAUCUGCCUCCUUGUAUUUUUCAAUGCCCACUAGGUUAGCAAUCU
rnacentral:ncRNA from 1 species